UACACUUAUGGGUUCUGUUCUGGUAAAAUGCAUUCUGUAUUGUAUAGGGCAGGAAGAAGUUAAAGGUCAUAGGGGACACUAAAAAUGCAGACACAUAGACGCUUAGGCUAGCUGGACAGUCAAUGACUAACUGAUGGAUUGCCUGGGGACGGGGUCGGCCAGGUGACUAACUGAUGGAUUGCCUGGGGACGGGGUCGGCCAGGUGACUAACUGAUGGAUUGCCUGGGGACGGGGUCGGCCAGGUGACUAACUGAUGGAUGGCCUGGGGUCGGGGUCGGCCAGGUGACUAACUGAUGGAUUGCCUGGGGUCGGCCAGGUGACUAACUGAUGGAUUGCCUGGGGUCGGCCAGGUGACUAACUGAUGGAUUGCCUGGGGUCGGCCAGGUGACUAACUGAUGGAUUGCCUGGGGUCGGGGUCGGCCAGGUGACUAACUGAUGGAUUGCCUGGGGUCGGCCAGGUGACUAACUGAUGGAUUGCCUGGGGUCGGCCAGGUGACUAACUGAUGGAUUGCCUGGGGACGGGGUCGGCCAGGUGACUAACUGAUGGAUUGCCUGGGGACGGGGUCGGCCAGGUGACUAACUGAUGGAUUGCCUGGGGACGGGGUCGGCCAGGUGACUAACUGAUGGAUUGCCUGGGGACGGGGUCGGCCAGGUGACUAACUGAUGGAUUGCCUGGGGACGGGGUCGGCCAGGUGACUAACUGAUGGAUUGCCUGGGGACGGGGUCGGCCAGGUGACUAACUGAUGGAUUGCCUGGGGUCGGCCAGGUGACUAACUGAUGGAUUGCCUGGGGACGGGGUCGGCCAGGUGACUAACUGAUGGAUUGCCUGGGGUCGGCCAGGUGACUAACUGAUGGAUUGCCUGGG